rnacentral:lncRNA from 1 species
AUAAGGUGAAGUUGGGCUGAAGGGCUGCUAAGAAAAUGAAUGUGGAAAAUUAAGGAAAGCUUCUGUCAAGAAGGUGUUCCUGGACACCUUGCUGCUGUGCUGUUUCUGGCAAAUCACAUCUGAUAAGAUACAGGAGUCAUUUUUAGUAACAACUCCCAGACUAUUAGCCCUGCCAUUUUUCCACUGCUGGAGGAAAAUAUGGACUCUUGCUGAGCUGUAUGGUAAAAUAUCUUGGCUAUAUCUGAAUCUACCACCAGUUAAAAGGCUUUUAAAGUGCUAGCAUGGAGGAACCAGUUUAAGGUAGAGGAAAGGAAAAAAAUGGGAAAAAAAGGAAACAUCUCUUUAGAUCUUUCUAUCUGUUAUUUUUUAGAUUAUGUUUCUUCUGGGCUCCCAAAAUCUUCAGUAACAAACAAGUUUUCUUGUAAAAAGUAUUAAGUUAUCAAAACAUUUGCCAGGUCCUAAUAUUAAAUCCUAGCAGUCAGCAAUGUUUAAUUUCAGCCAUAUCAUUUUGCUGAGUAAGUCAUGCUAAAACUUAAAGUUUUCCCCUCAAAAUGGUCUUUCCAAAUGAGAUUGAUAUUGUGAGAAAAAAAGAAAAAAG